rnacentral:lncRNA from 1 species
AACACCAUACGGACUUCUUUACCCAUUUCUAGAGCUUCAUAGAUCUUAUGAACUAUAUACGUAAGUUGGUUCACAGUGCUGUCUCCUGGUCUAAAACCGGACUGAAAAUCAUUAAGGAAUCUAAUGUCUAAUAAAAAUUCAUAUAGUCUAAUGAAUACAAUUUUUUCUGGUAUUUUGGAUAUAGACGGUAAAAGUGAUAUGGGACGAUAGUUCUUUUUAUAUUGAUGAUCAUCUUUUUUAUAGACAGGAGUUACAUUUGCUUUUUUCCAUUCAGUUGGAUACUCUCCUACUCGGAGACUUGUAUUAAUUAAACAUGUAAAUGUUUUGGCAAUUCCACGGCUACAUAAUUUAAUAAUUCUAUUGCCAAUACCAUCAUGACCGCUAGCUUUUGUAAUAUCAACUUUAUAGAGGAGAUUAAUCACUUCUUCUUCUGUUGUUUGAACUAUAGACAACGUUUUAUCUGUGUGAUUAGAAUAAUAAUCUAGGACUGGUAGUUCAUGAUAUGUGUCAUCAACGUUCGCUUCACUUACAAAAUAUUCAUUAAAUAAAUCCGCUUUUUUUUGUGCAUCGCAAACAAUCUGAGAUCCCUCCC